GACAGCGUAGCUCAGUUGGAAGAGCAUUGGGCUAGUAUUCCAAAGGUCGUAGGUUCGAAUCCCGCCGUGGCCA
rnacentral:tRNA from 1 species